rnacentral:tRNA from 1 species
CACUAUAAAGCUAAAAAUCGUAUAAGCAUUAGCCUUUUAAGCUAAAAAUUGGUGACUAACGACCACCUUUAGUGA